ACAAAACCAUCAGAUCUUCUCUCUCUUCUCUCUCUCUCUCUCUCGGCGACUCAAGAAAUCCAUGCCAGAUCUAUCACCAGAUCCGUUUCAUGAGCAGAUCUGUGAGGAUUCCACCGCCUAUUCCCCUCUGCCUUGUUACGCUGCUUCAAUCGCGGCUUCUCUUUCAUUCCAGGCAAUCUUGGGUUUUGUAAGUGGAGAUUCUGGCGAUAUAGGGCUUAAACAAGCUAGGGUUUUGAUGUCGAAGGCACCAAGGGAUCCACAGAUUUGAACAAGGGAUCCACAGAUUUGCUAGAGAAUGGCCGGAAUCAGGUGACUGUCUGUCCAUGAAUCUCUCUGGAAUCAUGUUUCAGAUGAAGGAGUCUUUGCAAGGAGAGGGUAUAAUAUCGAGUCACUUGCUGUUGGUUUAAACAAGGACAGAGCUCUUUUUACUAUAGCUGUAUCUGGGACUGAAAGAAUGAUAGAGCAAGUUAUGAAACAACUUCUAAAGCCUGUUAAUGUUUUAAAGGUUGAAGAUAUCUCAAAGGAGCCACAAGUAGAACGUGAGUUGAUGCUCAGUAAGAUAAAUGCAGAUCCAAGAUACCGUUUACAGUUGCAACGAGUGUUAUAAGAGCUGCUGGGAUCAUAGUCACCUGGAUCGUAGUGUAUCCAAUCGGAAAUUGUAAGCGUACCAGAACGGGUCAAAAAUAUGAAUCUAAGAGCUGCUGGGAUCAUAGUCACCUGGAUUAAGAUACGCUCCGGCUCCAUCUAUGAAUUUAGAGUGUUUAGCAAGCUACAUAUCUGAGUUAUCUCUUGUGGAGUAUAACAUGCUGCGAUACAUACUUUCUCCAUCCCAGAAUCCUUGGGAGGAUGUUGCUGGAUGUUUUGAAUCUAAUGCUGAUCUUGCUAAAGCUUUAGAUGCAAAACAAAGUGCAUCUAUUAGUCUUCCAAUGGAGGAGAAUGGUUGAAGAAGCUGGUGACGUCAACGACGGUUUACAAGGGCAUAUGCAUAGAAAAGUUUUUGGAAUAUUUCUGGUGGUGUUGGGAUAGACUCAAGGCAUGCUUUCAAACGAAGACGUUUUAUGAAGCUGUAAACCAGUAUGCGUAAAUGGGUCUUCGUACUUUUUGUUUGGCGUGGCGGGAACUAAAUGAGUGGAGAGUAGCAGAGGUUUGCCAAAGAUUAGAACAGGACCUUGAAAUACUCGGGGUUGCUGCAAUUGAGGACCGUUUACAGGAUGGUGUGCCUGAAGCAAUCUGGAUAUAAAAACAACUCUGUGUGUGUAUGAGUGAUGUUAUUCUGAUUGAUGUCAUAACUUACUUCGUUACAGGGAUCAACAUGUGUUUUCACAGAAGCUAUACUACGCAACUAUGGCUUUCACACUGGCCUCUUCACAUCUCCACACCUCAUUGACGUUUGAGAAAGAUUUCGAUUGAACGGGCCAGUCUUUGAAGCCUUUAAAUACAAUUUAAACAGCGUAUCAUGAUGUCACUUUAUUUGUUCAAAUAUAUUCUUUUUAAGUUGCUAAGUUUUCUUCUGUUUCAGAGAGGACAUAUGCAUAUGAAUAACUGAUGGUUUCUUUGCAUCAUAUAUUAUUGGUGUUGUGGUAACAACACACAUGGUGAUUGGCGGCUUUACAUUCACUAUAGGCUGGUACUCAUUGAGAGUUUGAGACCACGAAUCCAUCUAUUGCUUAAUGAAUAAGGGAUAAUAUUGACAGGUUAUAAAGCUGGAGCUUCAUACAUGGAUGAAUGGGUCUAACGGUUCAAACGGGUCAGAUGUGUUGCAGCACUGGGCCAUUCAGUCACGUUUAUUUUCUGUUUUAUUGGGUCUAAAUAAAAUGAUUUUGUUUUCAAUUGACCCACCCAAAACUUCAAUGUCCGUUCUUAACAACGAAGAGAUCACCUGCAGCUACAUAUGUGAGUUGUGAGGGGACGAGAUGACGGUGGUCAGGCAUCACUCCGGAGCACAAUUCCGAAAGCAGUUGUCUAUUGUCAUAUUAAAGAGGCCAAGCAAAAUCUAUCAAGUUAAGUUGGCACACAAAGCGGAAGGAGGGAGGAAGUGAGCUUUUGGCUUUUCCAGGGGUGAUUAGUUUUAUGCAUCAUAUCCUACGAGUGAGUUUUUGACUGAUACCUUAAAGUGAGGUUUUGCAUAAGGAGGGUUUCUCAUUUCUGUAGCCACUGGUGUUUCUGACACUAAACAAUGGUAAGGAAUGGUAACUCACACAAACAUGGAAGCUUGUGGAUGAAUAUUCUGAUGAUGUAGUCCUUGGCUUGGCUCUAAACCAUCAAGAAAGCGACACCAUUCAAGGGAGGUGGAUUGCACACAAAUGGAAGAGUGAAAAUCGGUCACAACUCAAGAUCUUGUAAUGGCCAAAGGACAAUCAGCAUCACAGACUGGAUGAUAUUUUUUUCUUUCUAUUUUUACUUUAAUUUGGUCCGUCUUUUUGGGUUUUUAACAACUAAACUUAGACUGUCUUUUGGGUUGCUUAACUUUCUAUUUAAGUUUGAUAUUAUGUGGUCUUUUGACUUUUGAGCUGAGAAAGAAAUAAUUGUUUGGUUUACUUAAAUUGAUUCAGAAA